CAAGAGCGUAUAUUAAAGUUGUUGCAGUUAAAAAGCUCGUAGUUGGAUUUCUGGUACAAUGCGCCUGGCCCGCGGCAGUAAUGCCUGUGAGUGCCGGUGCGCGUUUGCCAUCCUUCUAGAAAACGUUUCUACCCUUUACUGGGCCGGACUCGCGAUCUAGAUCUUUUACUUUAGAAAAAAUUAGAGUGUUCAAAGCAGGCUUUUGCUGUGAAUACAUUAGCAUGGAAUAAUAAUCUAGACUCGGUUUAUUUUGUUGGUUUCUAACACUGAAGUAAUGAUUGAUAGGGAUAGUUGGGGGUGGCUAGUAUUAGGUCCGGCCAGAGGUGAAAAUUCUUGGAUUCGGUCAAGACUAACUUA
rnacentral:rRNA from 1 species